CAACCAAAUACCAACUGUUCGUCGGAUGCCACAAACCAGGUUCAAUAAAAUGUGGUGCUCCAUAUAUUCCUCAUCAUGCUAUGGUGGAAGAUCUCCGUUUGAAUUACGACUUUGGUGACAGUGUGAAUGUGAGGUGUAAUACCAGUGAUGCUAUCUUCCCCCUUCAAUGUCAUAACAAAGGAUUGUGGAGCGGGCCGCUUGCGUCUUGUCCCGAACCCGAACCAAAGAGUGCUCCAUCAGUUGACUCUUGUACUGCCCCAGCAGUGCCAAUUGAUUCAACCAUUCAGAAUCUUCGUCUCUCAUACAAAGACGGUGACAGGAUGAACGUGACAUGUAACGAGGGCCCUGAGUGGUUCGGCGUGACAUGUGAGGAUGGAAUAUGGACAGGCCAAAACAUAGUGUGCCCUAAUCCUGCCAUAGAAUGCAAUCAACCAAUCAUCUCUGUCGACGCAUACAUUGGAAAUGUUAAGCCUCGCUACAAGAAUGGUGACCAAGUGAACAUCACAUGUAACGACGAUUCUGUUUCUUUAAUUUGGGAAUGUCAACGAGAUGGAUUGUGGCGUGGGCCUCCCUUCGAAUGCUCUCGUACUAAUCCAUCGCCUGAAGGACAACAACCUUCAUCCCCGGGGCGCCUUACAAGACUUAACACUGAGCAUGAUGGAAGGGAUUACUUUAUCACCGGCCUUCUGGUUACAGCUGUCAUCUUAUUCAUCCUUGUUCUGAUGUGUAUGGCUGUGUUUGUUAUCUUCAUGAGAAAUCGUGGAUACGAUUUGGUAACAUCAUCGAAAGACGCUCUUCAAGAUGAGAAUGGAUCAAGAGGACCUCUUCCAGACGUUCCUGAAGGAUAUGCUAACUACGUUGCUGGUGAACAGUCACUCUAUGUCGAACCAUAUCUCAAACAAAAUGGAGAUCACAUUCCAGCCUAUGAAGUCUACGAAAAACCAGUUUGAUUAAUUUAUCCUCGACAAUGUAAACAGCUAAUCACUAUCAGUGUUAGAUUCAGCUUGCUUUUCCCUCUUUUGUACCAAUCAUGUUAAUAUUUGUUUUUUGUUUAGUUGUUAGCAAUGUUCAGUUGAACAUGGGACAUGCACCUUCGCCUAAUAAUCUUUGUAUUGAAUUUCAGUUGUUACAAUUUUAAUACUCUUUUAUCUACAAAUGUAUGAAGUUCUUACCUGCACGCAGUUAUUCCCUACUAUAUACUUACUAAAUUAUAUGAUAUAUAAAAAUAGCAUACAAUUCCUCUCCUCCCCGAUAAUGCAUUACUUAUUGUCUUGAAUCCACCACUGUUUUGUGUUACAAUGAAAUGUAUGUUUAUUAGCGUUUUUGUUUAUUUUAUUUCUAAAUAUUUCAAGUAAAAAUAUGAAAAGCACAAUUUUCUCUCGCGUAAGAAAUGUUAAAUAUUGAGAUUAAUUUAAGACGAGGUUAAACCUUUAUCGCUUUACAUACAAUAUAUAUCAAAUGUGUACAGUAUGAUUCUACAUGUAUUUUUUCAUAAUGUGAAUACUUUUCUGCCUUCAACUUACAUGUCCAGGUUAUUAUCAAAGUGUACGAUAUUAAGCUCAUUGAUUACUUUAAUACACAUGAAAUUUAUUAAUACCAAAAGAGAUAUCUGCAAU
rnacentral:lncRNA from 1 species